rnacentral:rRNA from 1 species
UAAGGAAUAUUGGUCAAUGGACGCAAGUCUGAACCAGCCAUGCCGCGUGAAGGAUGAAGGUCCUCUGGAUUGUAAACUUCUUUUAUCUGGGACGAAAACGGGAUUUUUAUCUCAAUUGACGGUACCAGAGGAAUAAGCACCGGCUAACUCCGUGCCAGCAGCCGCGGUAAUACGGAGGGUGCGAGCGUUAUCCGGAUUUACUGGGUUUAAAGGGUGCGUAGGUGGGCUUAUAAGUCAGUGGUGAAAUCUCCGAGCUUAACUUGGAAACUGCCGUUGAUACUAUAGGUCUUGAAUUAUCUGGAGGUAAGCGGAAUAUGUCAUGUAGCGGUGAAAUGCUUAGAGAUGACAUAGAACACCGAUUUCGAAGGCAGCUUACUACAUAUAAAUUGACGCUGAGGCACGAAAGCGUGGGGAUCAAACA